rnacentral:hammerhead_ribozyme from 1 species
AUCCAGCUGUCGAGUCCCAAAUAGGACGAUAUGCGCAUCCUGGAU